CUUGUGUAAUUAACCCGAUUUUUCUCCCUUCCCCAACCGACACCAUCUUCUCUUUCUUUCUUCUCCUCUCAAAAUCCCUUAUCCUCUUCUUUCUUUCUCACACACAAAUAGGUGCAAAAUUGUGAUAAAUUUGUGGAAAAUUCUAGCAAAAUUGGAAGAAAGCUUUAUUGGAGGCCAACCCAACUUUUGAUUAGGCAACAAAUUGAAAGAAAAUGGAUUGGGUAAUAGAGCUACACCAACGGAUCAUCGAGUUAAGAGAAUCACGCCAUAGGUAGCAUGCAUCUCCAACCUGUGUAUAUAGAGGACCACCAGCUAAUUGAUUUUGAGAUUAUGUAAUGUACAUCAGGACUGGUGAAGCCAGGAUCUUUACUUAUGUAUCUUUAUUUUGAAAUGUAUGGUUGUAUAUUUGUAUGAAUAGUGGUAGUUGUUUAGUUUAGUUUUACAUAAAUCACUCAGAUACUUUGUGUUUAGUUGUGGACUCUAGAAUCGUUAAUGUUGACCCUUUGAUUCCCUUA